rnacentral:rRNA from 1 species
UACGGGGGGAGCAAGCGUUGUUCGGAUUUACUGGGCGUAAAGGGCGCGUAGGCGGCGUGACAAGUCACUUGUGAAAUCUCCGGGCUUAACUCGGAACGGUCAAGUGAUACUGUCGUGCUAGAGUACAGAAGGGGCAACUGGAAUUCUCGGUGUAGCGGUGAAAUGCGUAGAUAUCGAGAGGAACACCUGCGGCGAAGGCGGGUUGCUGGGCCGACACUGACGCUGAGGCGCGAAAGCUAGGGGAGCGAACGGG